rnacentral:lncRNA from 1 species
AUGAAAUUUAUUCAGUCUUUCUCAAGUUCUAUAUUUUUUGUUUUUUUACUCUAUUUUGUGUUUUCUGUCUUUUUUUCCAAAGGUCAUUUAUUUUCUUGUCUUUGUACAUUUUCUGAUUUGAGUAUAAUGCUUUCGGUUUUUCCCUUCUUCCAGCACCAGCAGACGUUUCUGAAUCAACUACGAGAAAUUACAGGGAUUAAUGAUGCCCAGAUUCUACAGCAAGCCUUGAAGGAUAGUAAUGGAAACUUGGAGCUAGCAGUGGCUUUCCUUACUGCAAAGAAUGCCAAGACCCCUCAGCAGGAGGAGACCACUUACUACCAAACAGCGCUUCCUGGCAAUGACAGAUACAUCAGUGUGGGCAGCCAAGCAGAUACAAGAAAAAAACAGUAUAUGCCCACCAGAACAAGAUGUGCUACAAUUGAGCAAUCAAAGUAUGGAUCGAAAGAUAAGAGGGAUUUGGAUGUGAUUGAUCUUACUGGAGAUGAUAAAGAUGAUCUUCAGAGAGCAAUUGCCUUGAGUUUGGCGGAAUCAAACAGGGCAUUCAGGGAGACUGGAAUAACUGAUGAGGAACAAGCCAUUAGCAGAGUUCUUGAGGCCAGCAUAGCAGAAAAUAAAGAAUGUUUGAAGAGGACACCUACUGAAGUUUGGAGAGAUUCUCGAAACCCUUACGAUAGAAAAAGGCAGGACAAAGCUCCUGUUGGACUAAAGAAUGUUGGCAAUACUUGCUGGUUUAGUGCUGUUAUUCAGUCAUUAUUCAAUCUUUUGGAAUUCAGAAGAUUAGUUCUGAAUUACAAGCCUCCAUCAAAUGUUCAAGAUUUACCCCGAAACCAAAAGGAGCAUCGGAAUUUGCCUUUCAUGCGUGAGCUUCGAUAUCUAUUUGCACUUCUUGUUGGUACUAAAAGGAAAUAUGUUGAUCCAUCUAGAGCAGUUGAGAUUCUUAAAGAUGCUUUCAAAUCAAAUGACUCCCAGCAGCAAGACGUGAGUGAGUUUACACACAAAUUAUUAGAUUGGUUAGAAGAUGCCUUCCAAAUGAAAGCUGAAGAAGAGACGGAUGAAGACAAGCCAAAGAACCCCAUGGUAGAGCUGUUCUAUGGAAGAUUCCUAGCUGUGGGAGUGCUUGAAGGUAAAAAAUUUGAAAAUACUGAAAUGUUUGGUCAGUACCCACUUCAGGUCAAUGGAUUCAAAGAUCUACAUGAAUGCCUAGAAGCUGCUAUGAUUGAAGGAGAAAUUGAGUCUUUACAUUCAGAAAAUUCAGGAAAAUCCGGUCAAGAGCAUUGGUUUACUGAACUACCACCUGUGUUAACAUUUGAAUUGUCAAGAUUUGAAUUUAAUCAGGCACUGGGAAGACCAGAAAAAAUUCACAAUAAAUUAGAAUUUCCUCAAGUUUUAUAUCUGGACAGAUACAUGCAUAGAAACAGAGAAAUAACAAGAAUUAAGAGGGACGAGAUCAAGAGGCUAAAAGAUUACCUCACAGUAUUACAACAAAGACUUGAAAGAUAUUUAAGCUAUGGUUCGGGUCCCAAACGGUUUCCCUUGGUGGAUGUUCUGCAGUACGCCUUGGAAUUUGCCUCAAGUAAACCUGUUUGCACUUCUCCUGUUGAUGAUAUUGAUGCUAGUUCCCCAUCUAGUGGUUCCGUACCAUCACAGACAUUACCAAGCACAACAGACCAACAGGGAGCUCCUUCUUCAGAACUGCCAAGCACGUCACCCGUGUCAAUAGCUGCCAUUUCAUCAAGAUCAGUAAUACACAAACCAUUCACUCAGUCCCGGAUACCUCCAGACUUGCCCAUGCAUCCGGCACCAAGGCACAUAACAGAAGAAGAACUCUCUGUGCUGGAAAGCUGUUUACAUCGCUGGAGGACAGAAAUAGAAAAUGACACCAGAGAUUUACAGGAAAGCAUAUCUAGAAUCCAUCGCACAAUUGAGCUAAUGUACUCUGACAAAUCUAUGAUCCAAGUUCCUUAUCGUUUACAUGCUGUUUUAGUUCAUGAAGGUCAAGCUAAUGCCGGGCACUACUGGGCAUACAUUUUUGAUCAUCGUGAAAACAGGUGGAUGAAGUACAAUGAUAUUGCUGUAACAAAAUCAUCGUGGGAAGAGCUAGUGAGAGAUUCUUUUGGUGGUUACAGAAAUGCCAGUGCAUACUGUUUAAUGUACAUAAAUGACAAACCACAAUUCUUAAUACAAGAGGAGUUUAAUAAAGAAACUGGGCAGGCCCUUGCUGGAAUAGAAACACUACCCCCCGACUUAAGAGAUUUUGUUGAGGAAGACAACCAGCGAUUUGAGAAAGAACUAGAAGAAUGGGAUGCACAACUUGCUCAGAAAGCCUUGCAGGAAAAACUUCUAGCAUCUCAGAAACUGAGAGAGUCUGAGUCUUCUGUGACAACAGCACAAGCAGGAGAACCAGAAUAUCUAGAGCAGCCAUCAAGAAGUGAUUUCUCAAAGCACUUGAAAGAAGAAACCAUUCGAAUAAUUACCAAGGCAUCACAUGAGCAUGAAGAUAAAAGUCCUGAAACAGUUUUGCAGUCGAAACCUGAAAAUACCACAAGCCAGCCACCUUCUAAGCAGCAAGUUGUAGAGGUGGAGAUUCCUCAUGUAGGGACAUUUAUGAUUGAGUCAAAGGAGGGGGGUUAUGAUGAUGAGAUCAUGAUGACACCGAACAUGCAAGGUAUUAUCAUGGCCAUAGGUAAAUCCCGGAGUGUGUAUGACAGGUGUGGCCCUGAAGCAGGGUUCUUUAAGGCAAUUAAGUUGGAAUAUUCAAGGUUGGUUAAAUUGGCCCAAGAAGAUACCCCACCAGAAACAGACUAUCGUUUACAUCAUGUAAUAGUCUACUUUAUCCAGAAUCAGGCUCCAAAGAAAAUCAUUGAGAAAACAUUGCUAGAACAAUUUGCAGAUAGAAAUUUGAGUUUUGAUGAAAGGUGUCACAACAUAAUGAAAGUUGCUCAAGCCAAAAUUGAAAUGAUAAAACCUGAAGAAGUAAACAUGGAGGAGUAUGAGGAGUGGCAUCAGGAUUAUAGAAAAUUCAGGGAAACAACCAUGUAUAUCAUUAUUGGGCUAGAAAAUUUUCAAAGAGAAAGUUAUAUAGAUUCCUUGCUAUUCCUUAUCUGUGCUUAUCAGAAUAACAAGGAACUGUUGUCCAAAGGCCCAUACAGAGGACAUGAUGAAGAACUGAUAUCACAUUAUAGAAGAGAAUGUUUACUAAAAUUAAAUGAGCAAGCUGCAGAACUGUUUGAAUCUGGAGAGGAUAGAGAAGUAAACAAUGGUCUGAUUAUCAUGAAUGAAUUUAUUGUCCCGUUUUUGCCCCUGUUAUUGGUGGAUGAAAUGGAAGAGAAAGACAUACUUGCUGUAGAAGAUAUGAGAAAUCGAUGGUGUUCCUAUCUUGGACAAGAAAUGGAAUCAAACCUCCAAGAGAAGCUGACAGAUUUUCUGCCAAAGCUGCUCGAUUGUUCUACGGAGGUUAAAGGUUUCCAUGAGCCGCCUAAGUUACCUCCGUACUCCACACAUGAACUCUGUGAGCGAUUUACCCGAAUCAUGCUGUCCCUCAGUCGAACUCCUGCUGAUGGAAGAUAAACUGCACAUACU